UACGUAGGUGGCAAGCGUUGUCCGGAAUUAUUGGGCGUAAAGCGCGCGCAGGCGGUUUCUUAAGUCUGAUGUGAAAGCCCACGGCUCAACCGUGGAGGGUCAUUGGAAACUGGGAGACUUGAGUGCAGAAGAGGAUAGUGGAAUUCCAAGUGUAGCGGUGAAAUGCGUAGAGAUUUGGAGGAACACCAGUGGCGAAGGCGACUGUCUGGUCUGUAACUGACACUGUGGCGCGAAAGCGUGGGGAGCAAACAGG
rnacentral:rRNA from 1 species